AAGAUCAUGAGGAAAAAUACUUGUUUUUUUAAAAAAGUAAAGGUCUUUAGUAUGGAAUUUUUAAUUGGUACAGAAUUAGACAGCAUAUAGUGACUGUCUAAUUUUACAAUUUAGAAGGAGAGGUAAAAAUGGGGUGCAACUUGUCCAAGUCUGCAUAGUUACUCAGUGGUACAACUAUCAUUAGAAUCUUGCUCUCCAAUGAGGUCUCCAUUUAUAUAUAUAUUCUUACAAUAUGCUAGGAAUCCCAGUGAGGCAGAAGUUACUA
rnacentral:lncRNA from 1 species